CAUGCAAGUCGAACGAGGAUAUACCUUUCGGGGUAUAAACCGAGUGGCGCAAGGGUGAGUAAUGCAUAGAUUACCUGCCUCUAGGAUAAGGACAACUUUGUGAAAACGAAGCUAAUACUUAAUAAUACAAGAGAGAAUAAUUCUUUUUUGUCAAUGGGAGGGUAGCAAUACCUUUUGCCUAGAGAGGGGUUUAUGUCCUAUCAGCUUGUUGGUGGGGUAAUGGCCUACCAAGGCGAAGACGGGUAGCCGGUCUUAGAGGAUGGUCGGCCACACUGGGACUGAGACACUGCUCAGACUUCUACGGAAGGCUGCAGUCGAGAAUCUUUCGCAAUGCCCGAAAGGGUGACGAAGCGACGCCGCGUGAGUGAGGAAGGCCUUCGGGUUGUAAAGCUCUGUCAGGUGUUAAGAAAUAUAAGUGUGCUAAUACCACAUUUAUUUGACAAAGGCGCCAAAGGAAGCCACGGCUAACUCUGUGCCAGCAGCCGCGGUAAUACAGAGGUGGCAAGCGUUGUCCGGAAUUAUUGGGCGUAAAGAGCACGUAGGUGGGUUCGUAAGUCAGAUGUGAAAGCCUUCUGUUCAACGGAAGAAUUGCAUCUGAAACUGCGAGUCUUGAGUGUAGGAGGGGAGAAUGGAACUUCUGGUGGAGCGGUGAAAUGCGUAGAUAUCAGAAGGAACGCCGGCGGCGAAAGCGAUUCUCUGGCCUAUUACUGACACUCAGUGUGCGAAAGCUAGGGGAGCAAACGGGAUUAGAUACCCCGGUAGUCCUAGCUGUAAACGAUGGGCACUAAGUAGAGGGAAUUACCGAUGUUCUCUCUGCCGUAGCUAACGCAUUAAGUGCCCCGCCUGGGGAGUACGGCCGCAAGGCUAAAACUCAAAAGAAUUGACGGGGGCUCGCACAAGCGGUGGAGCAUGUGGCUUAAUUCGAUGCAACGCGAAAAACCUUACCGGGGCUUGACAUGGUAGAAGUAGGAACCCGAAAGGGUAACGAACGGUAUCCAGUCCGUAGCUAUCACAGGUGUUGCAUGGCUGUCGUCAGCUCGUGUCGUGAGACGUUGGGUUAAGUCCCCUAACGAGCGAAACCCUUGUUUUUAGUUACCAGCGGGUUAUGCCGGGUACUCUAGAAAGACUGCCGUCGUCAAGACGGAGGAAGGUGGGGAUGACGUCAAGUCAUCAUGGCCCUUAUGCCCCGGGCUGCACACGUGCUACAAUGGUCGGUACAAACGGAAGCGAAGCCGAGAGGUGGAGCGAAUCCUAAAAAGCCGAUCUCAGUUCGGAUUGGAGGCUGAAAUUCGCCUCCAUGAAGUUGGAAUCGCUAGUAAUCGCGGAUCAGCAUUGCCGCGGUGAAUAUGUUCCCGAGCCUUGUACACACCGCCCGUCAAGCCACCCAAGCAGGAUGCACCCGAAAACAUUAUAUCUAACCAGGUUUACCUGGAGGAAAGUGUUGAAGGAGUGUUUUGUGAGGAGGACUAAGUCGUAACAAGGUAGUCGUAGGAGAACCUGCGGCUGGAUCACCUCCUUUCU
rnacentral:rRNA from 1 species